rnacentral:sRNA from 1 species
GGACUCAAAAUCACGGGCCUCGACGAG